UAAGGUCCAUGUCCGAGAGGGAAAGAACCCGGACCAUCAGCUAAGGUCCCCAAAUAUAUACUAAGUUGAAUAAACGAGGUUUGACUGCCUAGACAGCUAGGAUGUUGGCUUGGAAGCAGCCAUUCAUUUAAAGAGUGCGUAACAGCUCACUAGUCGAGCGGUCGAGCAUGGAUAAUAAUCGGGCAUAAGUAUAUUACCGAAGCUAUGGACUCCAAUGGAGUGGUAGGGGAGCAUUCUAUC
rnacentral:rRNA from 17 species